GGAAUCGCCCAGCUGUCCCCUCAGACGGCAGCCCGUGGCCGUCCCCUUCGCCGUGGGAUGCGGGGAUUUGGGGCGGCUGAAGGAGACGGGGCCCCCACCGCUGUAGCGCUGCUGCCCCCAUUAGGGCCUGGAACUCCGAGCCUCCAGCUCUGCUCGCGGUGCCCCCCAAGGCUGAGGUUUCAGUCUCCAUUCUGCUGAUCCGAAAGAAAGAAGGCGGCUUUUGGAGGACUUGAUCAUUGCGAGUCGAGCUGCUGCUGAACCUCCCCUUCCAACAUCCAGCAGGUUUGUUCAGCAGGCCCCGGUGAUGGCACAGGCAUGAAAGAGCCCAGAGCUCGUCGCUGGGGAGAGGCUGCGUAUGGCGUUGUGAAGGGAGAGAUGGAGGAGGGGUUUGAGCAGCGCUGUGCAGGAAUGACCGGCUGGUAAGAGAAGAGGUGUGUGUGCUGAGAGCAAGGGCUGUACGGCUCCUCUCUGUGUUCUCACAGGAAGUGCACGGCAGAGCUCCUUGCUCUCUGUUCUUUCUUGCAAGGCUGCGGCGCUUCAAAGUGCGCUGUGGGUGGGCAGCGCGAUGACAGCCCAAGGGUGGCACCAGGAGAUGCAGCGCAGCCCUCUGCAGCAGCCGGGUGCAUUGAUUGGUCUUGCUCAUUCUUGCAAGAGAAGGUGUGUUUAGCUGCCAACUUUGGUGGCUCCAUAGCAUGUGCUGAAGUCUUUGGGGCCCUUCCUGUGUUCCUCACGUCCUGAGGCAGUGAAGGACUUCCCUUGCUCUGUAGGAAUGGUUCCUGUGCAAGGGCAUGGUCGUCUGCCUGUAGCAGAUACUGAAGGUUGUGCUUUUGUGACUGCAGUGAUGGAGUUGGCUUUAUGAAUGGCAAUUGCACUCUGCUCACGUGCAGCUCUUUCUGACACAGGCAGGAGUCGGGCAGCGGUACUGCAGUGGGGAGCCCCACAGUCCCCAGCAGCACCCCAUGUCCCCCACUGGACAUGGGAAUUCUCCUAUUCCAUUCCACGGAAUCCUCCUAUUUCCUCCCUCAGACCUCCUUUACACCUCCAAGAUCCCCCCUGGGAACUCACUGAUCCCCAUGGUCCCUGACAGGACCCCAUCACCAUCCCAGGACCCUCGUAGCCCACCUUUGGCCUCUCCUCUUCCUGACCUGCCUGCAGAUCCCGUACAACCUCACAGUGCUGUGGCAUGGAUGGCUUCUGCAGGUGAGGAAUGAGGAGCUGGAGAAGGUGUAGGGCACAGAUGUGGGUCACAGAAAGUGAAGUGGGCGGCACUGGGAAUACUGGGGAACACGGAUCAGAACAUGGGAGGAUUUGGGAAGGAUAAGGGGAUGUGGACCACAGCCUACAGGAGCAGAGUGCUUCACAGGAGAAGGCUUCCAAGGUUCCCCCUUGGCUAGGCACUGCAGGCUCACAGUCUCCACCACACAUCCGCUGUGCAGUUUUUCCAGAGGAGGUCUAUGGCCAACGUGUUCCUUUCGGGCUGAUUGUGUGCUUUUCUAUGCAGACAGGCAGGCAGGCAGGAUUUCUUGCAGCUGUUGCACGUGCUGGGUCUCAUGCUCCGUCCUGCAGCUGUGCCUUAUCUCGUGUGCACUCUCCACCUCCCCCUGGUCAGAACGUCCUGGCCCUGCUGUGCUCUGCUCAGCAUCUAUCUGCUGCACAAUGACACAGCUGUCACACUGAGCCUGCCUUGUGCUAUCCCUGCAGAUGUUCCAUGAUUUCCUCUGCCACUGUCCCACUCGUAACUGCUCGGGUGAUUUCCAGCAGCACACAGCUGGCACACAGAGCCAUGCUGACCACGGCAGGGUGCAGCUCCUUGUUGCAGUCCCGUAGCGGUGGGUGGCCGUGCCAAAGGGGGAUCCCACCGCUGCUCUCUAUCCUUCUGCGCUCGUUCUGCACCACCGUGCAUUCCUUCCUUCUCGUGCUGCGCUGCCCUCAGAGUGCUCUGCCCAUUUCUCGGGGUCGUUGCAGCAGCUGCUGCAAGUGCUGAUGUUGGAGCAGUUUCUUCCCCACCGCGAGAUCCCUUCCAAGAGGCACUGCCCCUACUGCUGCAAUGGCCCCACUCUCAAACUUCCUUUUGUAAUAAGGUGUGUUAUUAGUUCUGUAGCUGACUUGGAUUUCUUCUGCCGCUGUCCUGUGAAGGAGUUGAUUUGCUUCAGUCCAUCCCUGCCCCGUUCCUGGCUCGGGUGUCUCUCAUGGCCACGCAGCACCACAGCAGCCAAGCUCCAAUCCCUUCCCCGGUCUCAGUGGGAUCAGUUUGUUCUGUUCUCAUCCACUUACAGAAACAGAAGCUACCAACCCACCAAACCCUGCGACAGGUAUUUCCCUACAGAAGCAUUCAUGUCCUUCUGCUGGCCCCUUUGGCCAGUUCCCAGCUCUCCAAACUGAGGCGUACACUGCAGCCCCCCCCAUGGCUUCUUUCUGGCAGCUGUGGCGCAGCCCCACCCCGAGGAGGAGAUGCCUUUUCCCCACAUGCAGCUGGUUCUAUGGCCACAUGGGGUGAAGACGUGGGGUUGUGGGUCACAUGGGGGUCCUGCAGCAUCACAGAGUUACGGGGUGAUAUGGGGCUAUGGGGUCAGAUGGGGUUCUGAAUCACAGUGAUAGGGUCAGAUUGGAUGGUAGGGACAGAUGGGGUGACAUGGAGUUACGGAUCACAUGGGUUGUAUGGUCGGGGUGAGGUGGGGGCAGGGAUCCCAGAGUUAUGGGCCCACAUGGCGUCGGGUCACAGCGUGAUGGAGGCAGGCAGAGUCAGGGCGUCACAGGAUCAUGUGGGGGUAUGGUUCCCCCAGGGCUGUGGGUCACGUGCAGCCAUGGGGUCAUGCACAUAAAGGGCGAUGAGGUCAUCUUGGUUUAUGGCUCAUGUGGGGUAACGGCUCAGGGCCCCACCUUUGGGCCACAGGGACGCCCAGUCCCCUCUCAGGAUGAAAUGAAACCACUGCAAACUCUGCCCCCCCCCGCUCUUUUUACCUCAAACCGCUCCCCACAUCCUCCCAUACUCUCUAUGUCCCCAUACUACCCCAUUCCCCUGUGUCCCACCUGCAGCCCACGUCUUGUCUUCUCCUGAACAGCAUUCUGCUCCUGCAGCCUGUAUUCCCACAUCCCUUAAUGUCCCUAUAUCCACCAAACACACCCCCAGAGAGCCCUAUAGCUCCUCAAGGACCUUCUCAGACUCAGCACAUCUCCCCCACAGACUUUGCACAAGGCCUUUUGCUUUUGCACACCUUUGCGUGCACAUGGAUGGAGUGCGCACAUAGGUCUGUGCAAGGAUGCGUUUGCACGUGUGUGUGAAUGCACAGGUGUGUGUGCAGGGAAAUCUUUGCACGUGGCUGUGUGGUUCUGCACACAUCCCUGCACGCAGAUGUGCGUGCACGGGAGCAGCGGAGACUUCUAACCGGAGAUUUCUGGGAGCGUUGGAACUCCUGUGAGAGUGCUGGAGAGCACAGGGCCGGGAAGCACAGCUCCACAGCACUGCGCUCUGCACAACAGCCUGCAGGACGGCACGGAGCGCUGACAGAACCAGGACACAGCGCCAUAGCAGGCACUGCAAAGGAAACAGCUCCAUCCCAGCCGCAACAGUGACAGGCAGGCAGGCACUGGGGAGGGCUGCACGGCAGAGGGACGCCCUCUGAGUGCCACAUCAGGAGAACCUGGAGCGCUGUCUGCAAGCAGAACAGUGCCGGGAUGGCAGCCUGCUGGUCCUAAGCUGCAGAGAUGCUGCUCUGGACCAACAGCCUGUCAUUUUUUCAGAAAACACCGUCCUUUUGCUGAACUUUGCUCAUUACAUACUUGUCAUUAAGGAAAAAAUGCUUGGUGCUGCCCUGGGAAACUCAGCAAUAUCCACAGCGUUGCUCUCCAAGUUAGCACGCUCGUGGCCAGGCUUUGUUCCCAGCAGCUCUUUGCACGUGCUUUGCAGACAGUCUGUCUGUGGGCAGUGCAAAGGACUGCUGCCUUUGUUGCAACACUGGACGGCAGCAUUCGCUGACGGAGCUGUGGCAGUUCUGAGCGAGCGCCGCGAGACCAAUAACGAGGAGGUGGUGCAGCAGCUCUCCGAGUGCCGCUGGACAAAUCAGGCCGUGCGCUCUCUGUGAAUCUAUAAAUUUGACUGGUUUUUAUUGACUACGUUUGAAGGUGGAGUGCUGAGAUGGGCGGCACUCAGCGCUGCCCUGUAACGCCACGCACUGCAGAAGCUGCUGCCUGCUGACGCUCCUCCUCUCAGUCCCUCAGCUGCAGCUUCUGCAUCAUCUCCACAAGGCUGUCCACUGCGGAGGCCUGGGAAGAAACGGAGCGAGGGUAGAAACAGGACACCACUUCCCUCGGGAUUUUACAGUCUCUUCCUUUCAUGUGUGACAGACAGAGGCCCUGAGAACAACAAGAGCCGUGUCUGCGUUCACCAAGGACUCACCUCGGCACGUGCAGCAGCAGCUCUGAGGGCAGCCUUCUUCAGCUCCACUCUCCUCUCUUUUCGUUGUCGUCUCCUUUCUGUAAGGAUAUAAAUAUAGAUGAAUUCAUUUUGUCUACAGUGAAACGGCAGAAACAUGGGUGCUGUACAAGCAUAAGGCAGCAAAAAGAGAGAGGAAAUGGGACUAGGAAGCCUCCCAGUGAAUGACAUUUCCAGGAGGCGUGCAGAAGACUGCCAUGGAGUUAACGUGAAGAGACAGGGUUACACGUUCUGGCACCUCACUGCCUUUGGACUUUGUAGCCUUCCACUCUUUUUCCCUCCAUGGAGUAGGAAAAAGCAAAGCCAACCCUAAGCAAACUCAGUGUGCUCGCACAGGGAAGUGCCUCAUCACGGCGGGUACCACAGCACCUUCUCACCUCUUUGCUUGGAGCUCCGCGCAGCAGCAGGCCCAGGGUGUGCUGCUGGAGCCGGCACACAGUCUCCACUCGGCCCCCUCACUCUCUUAUUGGAAGGCAGCUGAGCUGCUGUUGGUUUCCCUUCCUCCAAGGCCUUGCGUUUACAUCCAGCCUGGGUGUUGGAGACAGAGCGGGGGCACACGGCAAGGGAAGGUCUUCCCCCUGUGCUGGGACCUGCUCUCCUAGGAAGACCUCCAGCCUGGAGAGGAGCUUGUGAUGCUGACCUGUUGACAAGCUCUCUCAGUAUGGACCUGCUGGACCACUUUGACAUAGAUUUUGUCAUUUGGCUCAGCACCAAUCUCUGUUAAGAAAGGAAAAACAAGGAGAUUUAAUGAGAGCCCAACACUACUUUCAGUCUGCAAAACGGGUCACAUUCCUGGGACAUCUCAUGUCGAGUGCUCAUGGCCAUGGAUCAUAGGAUCUCAGCUGAACUGUGGGUUCACAAUUCUAAUCAGCACAGGAAUACUAAAUGUAAAUGCCAGGGAU